CUUGAAUAUCAGACGAUCAGUUUUAUGAAAAGAAUGUACAAAGAGCAAAUCAGCAGAAUCUGAUCCUCAUCUUUAAGACGUUCUAUUCCAGAUGAAGAGUAACUAGAAAAAAUAUGUAUCUCUGAACAUUAGAAUCACACUCAGCCUGAUGAGAUGCUCACACCGAGGAAUACCGGAAGUGAGACUGACUAAACGGACCUGAGGAUUAUUUCGAGGAUUAAAACAAACAAAAGUGAAAUGACUCAUUCUGGACGGCCCCAGGUGGUUCUGAAAUCCUGAGACUGAAAACUCCAAGAAGCAACCAAGAGACAAGGACAUGGUGUCAGUACUUGCACUGGUGAUUAAAGACAGAUCUUCAACAUCCCUGACGGCAGCAAAUAUGUCUAUGAUAGUAACACGGGGUGAAGCGGCUGAGUGGAAGAAGAUAUAGAGUGCUGUAGAGAAAAGUAUUGGAGAACAAGAAGAGUGAUGCAGAAAAUGAAACGCAGGGACACAAAGAAAAAGCACGCAGUUCUGGACAUAUUUAUGAAGACUUAAGCUGGGACUUCCUCUGCACACCAGCUCCCUCCCCUGCCCCCAGCUCUACAGACAUGACCGCACUUCCCACCUCCCGGGUUUCCCACAGCCGAGUGGUGCCCUGAGUCUCUUCCUAUGUCCAAUCCUAUGGUUUUGUUUCCUUUGCUUUUUCUUUCCUGCCCACUUUGUAGUUAUAGGUAUUUGCUGAAGCUCAGACCUUGGCUCAUUUCCUUUCUCAUUCUUACUGAACUGAGAAGUUGGAAUGCUUCAAUCAACAGCACUGUGCCGACAGCCUCUCUCAUCCUGGAUCGCAGCCCCUAAGACAUGUCUUCCUGGAUAUUCCAGGGUUCUUUCACAUAUCUAACACAUACUGCAUCUUCACUGCUGCAUCCCAAUUUUCCCAGACCCACAAUGUGAAAAUUUUUAUUAUUUGGUCCUGAAACCUUUUGCAUCAUCCUACCUAUCAAAUCUGCCACAGUCCUUGUUGACUUUUAAAAAGUUUUACUAGGGUACCACGUCCAGUGUCUUGACCCCAGGCUGGUAACCAUCGCUUGCCCAUUACUCUGCACCAGCUUCUUUACAUGCAUUUUCAGUCUCUUCGUUUUCCAUGUUAACUAUGCUACAAUCAACUAAAAGUCCUUAAUGUGCUAAUUUAGGAAAGACCUUAACCAUUCUCCAAACUACUAAUGACCCCCACCAUUUGAUCCCACUCUCCCUGUAAAACUAGCUUUUAUUAUUCCACAACGUGGAGCCUCUGUUGGGGUUGGCCAGUAUUCUCAUCAUCCCUCCACCAUGCCAUGUUUAUUAAUGAGUCAAGGUUUGUGGCCAUGCUCCUUUUUUCCAAUUAAAUACUGUUUGCUUUAUCGUUUAA